CAGAGUUCAUGCCCUAACGGGUAGACCUCCCACCCUUUGUUAUACCUACCUUUGUUGCUUUGGCAGGCCGCCUUCGGGCACUCGGCUCUCGCUGAGGUGCGCCUGCCAGAGGACCCAAAAACUCUGAAUGUUAAUGUCGUCUGAGUACUAUAUAAUAGUUA
rnacentral:misc_RNA from 1 species